AGUGAACGCUGGCGGUAGGCCUAACACAUGCAAGUCGAACGGCAGCACAGUAAGAGCUUGCUCUUACGGGUGGCGAGUGGCGGACGGGUGAGGAAUACAUCGGAAUCUACUUUUUCGUGGGGGAUAACGUAGGGAAACUUACGCUAAUACAGCAUACGACCUACGGGUGAAAGCAGGGGAUCUUCGGACCUUGCGCGAUUGAAUGAGCCGAUGUCGGAUUAGCUAGUUGGCGGGGUAAAGGCCCACCAAGGCGACGAUCCGUAGCUGGUCUGAGAGGAUGAUCAGCCACACUGGAACUGAGACACGGUCCAGACUCCUACGGGAGGCAGCAGUGGGGAAUGUUGGACAAUGGGCGCAAGCCUGAUCCAGCCAUACCGCGUGGGUGAAGAAGGCCUUCGGGUUGUAAAGCCCUUUUGUUGGGAAAGAAAAGCAGCAGGUUAAUACCCCGCUGUUCUGACGGUACCCAAAGAAUAAGCACCGGCUAACUUCGUG
rnacentral:rRNA from 1 species